AGCCUGAACGCUGGCGGCGUGGCUAAGACAUGCAAGUCGUACGGGUGUAGCAAUACACCAGUGGCGAACGGGUGAGUAAUGUAUCGCUAAUGUGCCCCGGAUUCUGGGAUAGCUAUCCGAAAGGGUAGGUAAUACCAGAUGAUAUAACUUUGCCGCAUGGCAGAGUUCUCAAAGGAGUAAUCCGCUCUGGGAGCAGGCGAUAUCGUAUCAGCUAGUUGGUGAGGUAACGGCUCACCAAGGCGACGACGCGUAGCCGGACUGAGAGGUUGGCCGGCCACAUUGGGGACUGAGACACUGCCCAGACUCCUACGGGGGGCUGCAGUAACGAAUCUUCCGCAAUGCACGAAAGUGUGACGGAGCGACGCCGCGUGUGGGACGAAGCCCUUCGGGGUGUAAACCACUGUCAGGGGUUAGAAAGUUCUGAUCAACCCAGAGGAAGGCACGGCUAACUCUGUGCCAGCAGCCGCGGU
rnacentral:rRNA from 1 species